rnacentral:rRNA from 1 species
AGUGAACGCUGGCGGUAGGCCUAACACAUGCAAGUCGAACGGCAGCACAGUAAGAGCUGGCUCUUACGGGUGGCGAGUGGCGGACGGGGGAGGAAUACAUGGGAAUCUACUUGGUCGUGGGGGGUAACGCAGGGAAACUUACGCGAAUAACGCAUACGACCUAAGGGGGAAAGCAGGGGAUCUUCGGACCUUGCGCGAUUGAAUGAGCCGAUGUCGGAUUCGCUAGUUGGCGGGGUAAAGGCCCACCAAGGCGACGAUCCGUAGCUGCUCUGAGAGCAUGAACCGCCACCCUGGAACUGAGACACGGCCCACACUCCUACGCGAGGCCACAGUCGAGAAUAUUACACGAUGGGCGCGAGCCUGAUCCAGCCCUACCGCGUGAGUGCAGAACGCCUUCGGGCUGUAGAGCCCUUUUGUUCUGAGAGAAGAGCAGCACGUUCAUACCCCGCUGUUCUGACGGUACCCAAAGAAUAAGCCCCGGCUAACUUCGUG